rnacentral:rRNA from 1 species
AGUGAACGCUGGCGGUAGGUCUAACACAUGCAAGUCGAACGGCAGCACAGUAAGAGCUUGCUCUUACGGGUGGCGAGUGGCGGACGGGUGAGGAAUACAUCGGAAUCUACUUUUUCGUGGGGGAUAACGUAGGGAAACUUACGCUAAUACCGCAUACGACCUACGGGUGAAAGCAGGGGAUCUUCGGACCUUGCGCGAUUGAAUGAGCCGAUGUCGGAUUAGCUAGUUGGCGGGGUAAAGGCCCACCAAGGCGGCGAUCCGUAGCUGGUCUGAGAGGAUGAUCAGCCACACUGGAACUGAGACACGGUCCAGACUCCUACGGGAGGCAGCAGUGGGGAAUAUUGGACAAUGGGCGCAAGCCUGAUCCAGCCAUACCGCGUGGGUGAAGAAGGCCUUCGGGUUGUAAAGCCCUUUUGUUGGGAAAGAAAAGCAGCAGGUUAAUACCCCGCUGUUCUGACGGUACCCAAAGAAUAAGCACCGGCUAACUUCGUG